GGUUGAUGGACACUGUAGUUUGCUCCUUGCUGGUGGCUAAAAUGCCGAAACCUCCCCAGACCCAGAGGGAAAUCUGGCGAAUGGUUGGGUUUACGCUGCGCAAAGUCACAAACACGUGUUGCAAGAAUUGGCAGUGUGCGUUGGAGACUUGUCCACAUAAACCGCAAGAAACCCACCCACCUUUCUACAAUUUCUUUCUUGGUUUUUGCCUUCCUAACCAUUUGGUAUUUCCUUUGCGUCUUCCUUGCUUAGUUGCUUCAUGCUUGCACCUUCAUUUCUUCUUCUUUCAGAGGUUAGAGUUUUGCUUUUAGACUACUACUAGUAUUACAUUCUUUUUUACCCUUUGUCUCUGUCCCUCUCUCUCCUUUUGUGUCAAUUUUUAUUCUUUUCUUCACUUUCACUGCAUUAUCCCAUCGCCACCCCCUCCAUAAAACUAUUCUUUUACUCCCAUUUUUUUAUACUUCCUUGAAUAGCCCAGUUCUGAAUUCUUUCCCUUUUCCCUGUUUUUACUGUAUACAAGAAACUAGCAAGGAGUACGGAGAGAAAGAAAACAAGACAGCCAAGGCAACUGCGUGAAAGAGUGAAAGAGAGAGACAGAUGGGAAGGCUGUUUGUGGUGAGCCUUGAAGGGAAGAUCUAUUGCUGCAAGCACUGUGGUACCCAUCUUGCCCUUUGGGAAGACAUCGUUUCCAAGAGCAAAUGUAACUGCUGGAGAGAAAGAAGAAAGAAUGAUGAUGACUGGACUGCACACUGUUGCUGACAUUUUCUGUGUCCGUUGUGGGUCCAUUGUUGGAUGGAAAUAUGAAACUGCCCAUGAAAAGGGUCAGAAGUACAAGGAAGGGAAAUCUGUACUUGAACGGUUUAAGAUUUCAGGCCCCGAUGGGAGCAACUAUUGGACGAGCCAUGAAGCAUAUGUAGGAGGAAGUGACGCCGAUGAUGUUUGAUUAUGAUUGAAAGCCAAUUUCCAUUUCCAACUGUACAUUCUUGCUACUGUUAUUGCUUUUUAUUGGACUAUUGGAUUCUUAAAUUGGUAAAUCCUCGUGCCCUGGAUUCCUCAGCUUGCUGAAAGGGAUCAUGUAUGUAAAUCUGCUGGACAAUGUUCAUAUUGUUUGACCGAACAUGGAACUUAUGGCCAUUGAUCACAAGUUCUAAAGCUCUUUUGGUUAUAACUAGAGAUGCAUCUGAUCAUCAAAACAUGGUUGGUGAAUGCUCA